rnacentral:rRNA from 1 species
CAGCAGCCGCGGGAAUACGGAGGGUGCAAGCGUUAAUCGGAAUUACUGGGCGUAAAGCGCACGCAGGCGGUCUGUCAAGUCGGAUGUGAAAUCCCCGGGCUCAACCUGGGAACUGCAUUCGAAACUGGCAGGCUAGAGUCUUGUAGAGGGGGGUAGAAUUCCAGGUGUAGCGGUGAAAUGCGUAGAGAUCUGGAGGAAUACCGGUGGCGAAGGCGGCCCCCUGGACAAAGACUGACGCUCAGGUGCGAAAGCGUGGGGAGCAAACAGGAUUAGAUACCCCUGUAGUCCCUGUCUCUUAUAA